rnacentral:lncRNA from 1 species
CAUGGCGGAAGGCAAAGGAGAAACAGGCACCUUCUUCACAGGGCAUCAGGAUGGAGAAAGGAAAUAACCCCCGAAGCCUUUGCAACUAAGGACAUGUAUCCUUCAGACAAGUGUUUACUGGGCAACUUCUUCGUGCUGUAAUUGAGUGUGGCCGAUUGCUCACAAAGAUGUUUGCAAAAUCCCUCCUGUCCCCUAACUCACUUCUCCUUGCAGUGUCACUCUGCCAACUUCUCCUGUCGAUUGGUGAAGACUGUUUCUCCUCCCCCUUGAAUAUGGGCUGGGCUUGUAACUUGCUUGACCAAUAGAAUGCAGAGAAAUGAAAUGCAGCCUUCAACAUUCAAGGCUAUGCUCAAGGAGUCUAACCCUGUGGAUAUGCUGUUGUCAAAUGAGGGAGCUUCGAUUAGCCUGUUGAAGACACACAGACGACCCGACAGGCAAUACCAACAUUCAGAUAUGCAAGUUAUGCUGUCUUAGACCAUGCUGCCCAGGUGAACUUUUAGACGACUGCAAUUUGUGAGUGACUCUAGGCAAGACCAGAAGAAACUUCUAGCUAAAUCUAAACCAAAUGCCAACUCAGAAUUGUAAGCAAAUAAAACGGUUGUUGUUUAAAGACACUAACUUUUGGGGUGUUUUGCCACACCUCAAUACAUAACUGUUACACUAAUUAUUUUUCAUUGUGAAAUCUUCAGCGUCUUAUUCUGUAAUCAAACCAGAAUGUCCUUGCCUUCUUAGCACUUUGCCACAGUCCAGUGGGGUGAAUAGACAGCAGCUGCUCAUUUAUGCUCAUGCUCAUGUUCAUAAUUUGCAUUUGGACUAAAAGGAGCUCUGUUCUCCAGGACAGAACUAUUCUAAAGCUCUUCAGGAACAGGAACAGGAGUCCAUCACAGACAGCGAAAUCAAAAGCGCCCUACAUAGAGGCAUCCAGACUGAGAGCUGAAAGGGAUCUGGGAAAUCAUUUAGUCUCACUCCCUCAUUUUCCAUUCAGACCACAGGGAUGAAAGAACUUGCUGAAGUUCUCACAGCUCUGUAGUGGCACAGUCAGAACAAGGAUCCCAAUCUCCUAACUACUAACAUAAAAUGCUUUCAGCAUGCAAGUUGAGCAUACAAUGGGACAGUUUAAAUUUAAAUGGUGUUUUGAGCAAGGGGAGAGUCUAAUUAAUUACUUCAAAGUAUAAUUUUGGAGUCACCAGAAAGGCGUUAAAGACAAAAAAAUGCUUUGGAACCUAGGUGCUUCAUAUCUGAAAUUGGGGCAGGUACAGGUGUAUUCCUACCACUAAAGGGUCAUUAGUUGGUUGGGUAGUCCUUUAGUGUUCUUGGUACUAAGCACAAAACAUGGGUAAGAUGGUUCAAGGCUGGUUGUGGUGGCUCAUGCCUAUAGCCCCAGCAUUUUAGGAGGCCAAGGCUGGAGGAUAGCUUGAGCCCAGGAAUUCGAGACAAGCCUGGGCAAUAUCGCAAGACCUUGUCUCUACAAAUAAUAAUUUCUUAAGAAUUGGCUGGGCAUGGUGGCACACACCUGUAGGCUAUUUGAGAGGUUGAGGUGGGAGGAUUGCUUUAGUGUGGGAGGCUGAGGCUGCAAUGAGGUGAUCACACUAUGGUACUACAGCCUGAGAAACAGUGUAAGAUCCUGCCUCAAAAAAAAAAAGUUUAUGUUCUCAAAGUGCUCAUAAUCUAGUGGUAGUACAGUAUUUGAGAUAUUAGAGCAGUUUCUCCUCCUUUUGCAACUAAGGACAUGUAUCUUUAAAGCAGAAGGAAUGGCAGAGUCGUGUAAUAAACCCUCAAGUACCAUUACUUAGCUUCAACAACUAUCGACACUCUACUGUUCUUGUUUCAUUUAUGCCUCACCUCCUUCCCAUCCCCCACUUGAAUAUUCUCAUCCUUUUUUUUUACAGUUUUUAAGAUAACAAUUACAUAACUGAAAUGCACAAAUCUUAGCUGUACAGUUUUGACAUAUGGAUACACCUGUGUAACCAAUGACUGUAUCACAACAUAGAGCAUUUCAUCUCCCCAGCAAGAUCCAUGUGUCUUUUCCUAGUUAAUGCCUCUUUAUUUCUGAGAUGGUUAUUGCUCUGCUUUUGUUUUUCAUGUUAGGCUAGUCUUGCCUGUUCUAGAAUUUCAUAUAACUGAGAACAUACAGAAUGUACUCACUAGUAGUGUCUGACUUUUUCACAAAGGAUAAUGUCUGUGGUAUUCAUUCAUGCUGUUGUAUGCAUCAGUAGUUUAUUUUCUUUUUACUAUUAAGUAGUGUUCUAAGGACUAUUUUAAUAGCAUCCCACAAAGGGGGUAUGAUAUGUUCUAUUUACAUUAUUAUUUGGUUUGUAAUAUUUUAUAUUUUCUCUUGUGAUUUCUCCUUUCACUCAUGAA